GGAUAUCCCAUCAUGCACCAGGCCUGGCGGCCGUAGAAGGGUUCCGGUUCACUUGGACCCUGCAGCCAUCGGGGGCCACGGAAGGGCCCGAAGACACACUCACCUCCCAGACACAGACCAUCGCCCCGAAGGCAGACGCCUGGAACUCUCUCCACGUCAUCUCCUUCUCCAUGCACUGGUCUCUGUACAGGGAAAGUACUUUGGCAGGACAAUAAACGUACUUCCCUGCUACCCCAGGGAACCCGGUGUGAAUGUGAGGACUGUUUGGGCCCUGCUUCAGUCCCAUCCCACAGAAGCAACCCAUAGCUUCCAGCUCGUCUUCAUCAGAUCCUCUGCUGCUGUGAACAGGUCCACUGGCUGACGUCAUGGUGGCAGCCAGGAAGCUGUGGAGGAGGACCGGUGGGGACGGCUAUUGGCCUGGGGAAUGGCUCACCUGGUCAGAUGAGAAUAAAGAUGAAAUGAGUAUGAU